AAAUAUGACUUUGUAAUAUGUUACUAUUCUCAUCCACACUAAUGAUCUAUAGUGUCCCAAACAAGUAAUAGCCGAACCUAAUCUAGUAUCUCGGAAACUAUUACAUUCUCGAAGCUAAAAUUUUGUAUCUAGUAUUCAUUUCCCCUCCCA